rnacentral:rRNA from 1 species
GACGAACGCUGGCGGCGUGCUUAACACAUGCAAGUCGAACGGAAAGGCCCUGCUUUUGUGGGGUGCUCGAGUGGCGAACGGGUGAGUAACACGUGAGUAACAUGCCCUUGACUUUGGGAUAACUUCAGGAAACUGGGGCUAAUACCGGGUAGGAGCUACUGCUGCAUGGGGGGGGUUGGAAAGAUUCGGCGGUUGGGGAUGGAAUCGCGGGUUAUCAGCUUGUUGGUGGGGUAGGGGCGUACGAGGGCUUUGAAGGGUAGCCGGCCUGAGAGGGUGACCGGCCACAUGGGGACUGCGAGACGGCGCAGACUCCUACGUGAGGCAGCAGUGGGGAAUAUUGCACAAUGGGCGCAAGCCUGAUGCAGCAACGCCGCGUUCGGGAUGACGGCCUUCUGGUUGUAAACCGCUUUCGCCUGUGACGAAGCGUGAGUGACGGUAAUGGGUAAAGAAGCACCGGCUAACUACGUG